GCCAGGUAUGGUGGUGGCACAUGCCUGUAAUCCCAGCAGCUUGGGAGGCUGAGGCAGGAGAAUCACAAGUUUGAGGUCAGCCUCAGCAACUUAGUUAGGUCCUAAGCAACGUAGUGAGGCCCUGUCUCAA
rnacentral:sRNA from 1 species